rnacentral:rRNA from 4 species
UGGGCGAAAGCCUGAUCCAGCAAUGCCGCGUGAGUGAUGAAGGCCUUAGGGUUGUAAAGCUCUUUUACCCGGGAUGAUAAUGACAGUACCGGGAGAAUAAGCUCCGGCUAACUCCGUGCCAGCAGCCGCGGUAAU